AAAGGCACUAUCGACUCCAGUCUCCCAAGAAGCAUCGAGCAUUCAGAAACCGGCACUUCAGGUUAAUUCUCAGCCAUCAGAAGCACAGCCAUCUCAGAAUAGCAAGUAGGUCCCCGGCGACAACAUCGAGUGAGGUGUCAAAAGUUUUGGAAUUAAGAACUGAGUGACCUUAUUCAAAGUGCAAUUUGAGAGAAAAUUGCAUCUGCGAAAUACAUAAUAGUGCUAAGAAAAAAAAAAGCACAGGAUACUGAAGGUCAGAAGACAAAGACGCAAUGGAUUCGUGAGUGGCGUGAUUGCUGUGCAGGGAAGAACAAGCUCAGAGUUACCCUGGGAGUUUCGCUUUCAUUGGGAUACACGUCCCAGCCAUGCAUGUCUGGAUUACAAGAAAACAAAUGCAUACAACCUGAGACACAUGUCUCGCUUCAUGGAGCAUUUUUUAAAAUUUCUGAAACCACGCACUAAUGUGUUCAGGAAUCCAGGUGCAUCACAGUGAUUCUGGGAGGCAGAAAUAUCUAACCCAUCCUGUUUUAUUUUACAAUUGGAAAUUUAUUUUCUGAUGAUGAUCAAUGGAGACUCAGGAAAGCAGAUUCAAAAGCAGACUUUCAAUGAGUUUUGAAGGAAUAGUGACAUUCUUCACAAUGACGUGCAACUUUGCUUUUAACAGUCAUGGGAGCGGUUUUGUUCAUAGGGCAAUACUUGAUCUACGUCCAUACGUCUACACCAUAUAAUUUGAAGUACUACUAUUUCAAACCCAUGGAAAAUUCAAAUACAAAAUCUCUGAUGCCUGUUGCAAUUUUUGCAGAAUGGUACAGGUCAACUGUCCAAACCAGUGCUUCUGAUGCUGUUUGCUAAUUUACUCUUCCAAUAAUUUUACUAUUAUAAGCAAUUAUGCAUAUGCAUAAAAGUAUACGGGAUGUAACUGAAAAAACAAAAACUUUGGUUUUCAUGCAAAUGUCACGUUAAUUCUACUAAUAUAUAAAUAGCACAAUCUUCUUUGUUACCCAAAGCGCUUAGAUUUAAAGGAAGAUGAACCAAUGUCCCGCUAAGUGUUGUUCAAGGAAUUAAGAGACAGCUUUCUACCUGCAAAAGUAUUACUCUCUGCUUUCAUGAGUUCAAAUUUCAGAGGGCACACGUGAGUGACAUCAUGCGAUAUCUAUCUUUCUGUACCUGGCUUAUUUUAUGAAGCAUAGUAUCCUGCAGUUUCAUCCACGUUGUUGUAAUUGACAAGGUUUCCUUCUUUUUUAAGGCUGGAGAGUGUUGCACUCUGCAUAGCUGCCAAUGACCAGACAUUGUCGAGAAUCUAAUAACAGUAAGGGAAGAAUGAGGAAGAGGCUGCACCUGUGGAAUCUGAAGAGGUGUGAAAGAGAUGGAAAGAUACCAAAACAAACUCACUUGACAAGGUUGCUGCUGGGGUUUGCAUGUUUGUCCUCUCCAAACAUGUUGAAAUGUAAUCCCUAAUGUCAGAAGUAGGGUGGAAUGGGAGGUGUGGAGUCAUGGAGGUGGAUCCCUGGUGAAUAGAUUAAUACCUCAGAGGGUGUGAGUAAAUUCUUUAUUAGUUCCUGCAAGUGCUGGUUGUUAAAAAGGACCUGGUACCGCCCCAUCUCUUUCUCUCUCUCUCUCUCUCUCUCUCUCUCUCUCUCUCUCUCUCUUGCUUUCUCUCUCCUAUGUGAUCUCUAAGCAGAUGCUCAGCCUUGAACUUUCCAGCCAUCAGAAUCAUGAGCCAAAUACAACCUUGUUUUUUAAUAAAAUUACCCAGCCUCAAGUAUUCCUUUAUAGCAACACAAAACGGACUAAGGCAGUUACUCAGGGCAGAUUUGGCCUGA
rnacentral:lncRNA from 10 species